GUGAAAUGAGAAUUCAGGUUGAAAGUUUCAAAUCCUCGUUUGGAUUUGUAACUACAAGAAUAAUUCACACUGAUUCUGAUAUAUGAUAGGAAUCGAAUAACAUUAAGGAACAAAGUUACUGAUAGAAUUUUAUUUGGAAAUAACAACAACAACAACAAGAGCUACAAAUACAAUAACAGGCAAUAAUACACCAGAAACGUGGAGAAGAGAGAAUGAAACGGUAAAGCCAACAGAAAGAUCUCCAGCUGCCUGCCCUUCAGAGACAAAACAAAUGAAACAUACACUUACUAAUCAAAUGAUAGGAGUCAAACAAGUUGAUUUCUAUGUAAGAAAACUGCAAGCUUGAAAAUUAAGGGGAACAAGACUAUGAAGCAGAUGAAAUCCGAGGUUAUAGAAACAGAAGAGUACGCACUGUUUAUUGUUGAAGUUUUGCUCAGCAUCUUCAGUCUUCUAUGCAGACAUGGCGCACAUGGGCUAUUUUUUCCCAAUCCUCACCCUGUUUAUCCUCAAGACUUGAUGACAAAAUUGGAAGCUUUGUUAAUUUUACUUCUCGGAGGUUUUUAAUGCACUGUAGCCCAGCAGGAAGCACCUUCAAAUUCAUACAGCGUCUGAUGUCCAAGUCUUUCAGAUUAGGCAUUGCUCCUUCCUCCACAUUCCAUUCCUCAAGUAGCUCCAGCUCCCAGAAUUUUAGGACUUCAAGCUUAGGAAAUCCUCCAAAACUGCAAAACAUUUUCUUUCCUGUAAAUGAUUUGGACAUCAGUAUCAAAAUUUGAAGGUUGGGAAGCUUGUCCAGUAUUUGCAUGGGAUCCUCUGCCAGUCCAGAAGCUGACAAGGUGAGUUCAACGAGGUUCUGAGGGAACUCAGAAACCAGCUGCUGGUUCUUUAGCUUUCCAGUCAAAUAUAUGCUGGUGAGAUCAACAUGGCUCGAUAAAGACUCCAAGUGCAGAUCCCAGGGCUGAUUUAAUUCAUCAAAUGAUUUCAACAUCAGGGAUCGAAGGUUUUUUAAAUUUUGAACCCAAUUUGCCACAACAUCCAGUUGCUUGGACAUUGCCGUCUUUUGGAAUGGUCUUGAUAUCUUGCAAAUCAUUCCCAAUUUUGUAAUUGUCAACAAAGUAUCCAGGCCAUUUUUUACAAGACUAUCCUCAUUUAUGAAUAUGCCCCAAAGUGUUUGAAGAUCCAUUGGAGAACUGCCCCCUUCCCAGACGAACGUGCUGCUAAAACUCUCAUCAAGAAAUAAAUGCCUUAGUUUCAGCAUAUUCCAGAUUAUAUUGGGAAGAGUACAAAUGUGAGCUCGCUUCAAAUCUAAAGUUUGAAGGUUUAUCAACUUGUCAAUGAACUUAGGAAGUAUCUUUAAGUAAGUGGAUCUCAGCACUAGGUACCUUAACCGAGUGAGUUCACCUAUUGCCUUGGGCAGUUUUGGCUUAUAUACAUUUUCAAGAUCCAACACCCAUAGGAAAUGGAAGCAAUUGCUGGAGAUACAUCGAUCAAGAAAUUUCCCUAUAUCUUCUCCAGCUAUGCUCCCUUCUCGAGUAUCAAAGGACAAAAACGAGACAACAUCACUAUAGCAAGGGUAAAGAGAAGCAGUAUCGUUACCAUGGAUGUGAUCAAAGAUAGCAUCGUUUGGGUCGACAUGGUCAGCAAGACGGCGUAUCACACUAGUGAUGUUGGUGUGACCUUGGAGAAAAUUAGCUUGCUUGGCUUUUGCAAACCAGUGUAGUCGCACUGCCUCAGGUAGGCGACACGUCUUGAUCUUCCCAUUGAGCUUCUUCUGUGUCACCUGUACCAUGUUAUGGUUCACCAACUCUCUCAAGCAUUCCUCUACAACAUAUUCAGGAGUUUUCUCAUCACCUUGUUGACGUCCCAAACCCUCCGCAACCCACAAGCCAAUCAAUCUUCUUGCAGGUAUCUUAUAAUCGGGUGGAAAUAAUCCAAAAUAAAAAAGGCAUCGCCUUAAAUACAAAGGCAAAUAUUUGUUGAUAUCUUCCAAGACUUCAGACCAUGGUUCUUCAUUUUGAUUUAGUUGGUCAAGCAUCCUUGACAACUCCUCUGGGGUUGGGUCUCUUUGUGACACUAGUUCUCCCAGUUUCACAAUCACCUUUGGCAGCCCUCCACAUUUUCUUAAUAUAAUUUCUUUCAAAUUUGAUUCCAACUUUGACGCGAUGCUUAUAUUCAACUCAUGUUUGAACAAAGCCCAGCUUUCAUCAUCGCUUCGCAGAUGUAGUCUGUAAAUAAGGUUUGUAUCGGUAACUGGUGGAGCCCAAUUUAGGCGGCGUACAGAGAACAAUAUUCGAGUUCCGUUUGAUAUUUCAGAGAAUGCACUUCCCAUUACUCUCCAGAAUUGGCUUGGAUAAGAGUUAUUGACCACAAUGAGAUACUUCUUAUCCGCAAAGAAAGCAUUAACCAUCUGCCUCAACCUAAAUGCAUAGCUUUCCUCCGUUUCAUUACCAUGAUCAUAAUAUAAUCCCGAACUGUCAUCAAAUCCCAAAAUCUUUUCCAUGAUUUCUACCUCGCUUUCUUCAGACACCCAAAUACGAUAAGGAAAAUGAUCUGCAAUAGCUUGGCUGUCAUAGAUUAGCUUUGCAAGGCAUGUCUUGCCAAUGCCUCCAACUCCCACAAUUGAAAUGGUGAUGCAGCGAGGGUCAUCUUUCAGCAGCUGUGGCAUAACUGCAUCAACAUCCUCAUCGAAGCUAGCCAUAUCAAGUUGAUCAGCAUCACGAGGAGGUGGUUCUUCCCGUUGAUAUAAAUUUUCGUAAUUACUCCAUGACAGUAAACUUGGAAUGGCUUCAUAUCCUCUAUUCGAAAUAUCAAGGAUCUUAUCAUUCAUCCGGGCCAUCUGCUGGAGAAGCUUAUGCUGGGAAAUGAAAUUCUGGGGAGCCCAGACCAAGUUUUGUAAAGGUCCUCUCUUCUCGUUCUUCAUCCGUUGCAAGAAGAGCCCAACAAAAUUCUCAGCUGAGCGACAAACAUCGCAAAGUUCCUCCAUCCACGCCAUUCCCGCUUCACUUAAUUCUUUUGAUUGUUCAACGUGCUUUAGAAAAUCCUGCAAAGACUUGAAUUCGUCUCUUAACCUCCUGGCUUGCCUUCGCACAGUAGGACGAAGCUCAUUCCGAGUGGCUAAGGCCUCAAACAAACCUAUAACUGGAGAAAUUACAGAGUAGCCAACACCCACUUCGUAUAAGCCAAAGGAGUCGUACCAGAGACCAGCUUUAAAAAAUGCAUUAUUUGCCUCAAUGUUAAUCUUAAUCUGUUCCACUCUCUUACGAAGUCUGUAAUGAUCUAGCAAAUCGACAAGAGCCAGAAUAUAAAAGAAACACAUUGGCAGAUGAACGAAGGCCAAAACACACAGAAAGCUAGCAUCUCUAUUGCGUCUCUGGGCUGUUUUGAUAAUUAACUCAUCAAUCACAUCUUCAAGAUCGUAAAUAGUUUCUACGAAGUCCUGGCUAAAGAUCAAAUUGUCACAAUAAUCAACUUUUUUUCUCAAUUGCGUUUCGAUGCAUUGAAUUUGAUCUUCGAAUCCAAGCAAUGAAUCUGACUCUUGGACAAGAAGAUUGGAAAUUUUUCCCAACACAGACAAGACGAUUUGUCUCACCAUUUGCAUUUGCUUGUUUGAUUCUUCUUCCUCGAUUUCUCUCACAAUUGGGUUAUUUUAUGGUUUUGUUUGUUCUGAAAGGUAAUAGAAAGCUUAUUCUUCUUUAUUCA
rnacentral:misc_RNA from 1 species